rnacentral:rRNA from 1 species
GAUGAACGCUGGCGGCACGUCUGACACAUGCAAGUCGAACGGUAAGGAGGGCUUCGGCCCUCCCUAGGGUGGCGAACGGCUGAGUAACACGUAGGAACCUACCCUCCGGCUCGGGAUAACGGACCGAAAGGCCCGCUAAUACCGGAUAUAUCCGUAAGGAGGAAAGGCUUGCCACCGGGAGAGGGGCCUGCGGCGUAUUAGCUUGAUGGUGGGGUAAUGGCCUACCAUGGCGAUGAUGCGUAGCUGGUCUGAGAGGACGAUCAGCCAGACUGGGACUGAGACACGGCCCAGACUCCUACGGGAGGCAGCAGUUCAGAAUCUUGCACAAUGGGCGAAAGCCUGGUGCAGCGAUGCCGCGUGUGCGAAGAAGGUCUUCGGAUCGUAAAGCACUGUCAGAGGGGACGAUAAUGACGGUACCCUCAGAGGAAGCCACGGCUAAUUACGUGCCAGCCGCCGCGGUAA